rnacentral:rRNA from 1 species
GAUUAGUGGCGAACGGGUGAGUAACACGUGAGUAACCUGCCCUUGACUCUGGGAUAAGCCUGGGAAACUGGGUCUAAUACCGGAUAUGACCGCCUGACGCAUGUCAGGUGGUGGAAAGCUUUUGUGGUUUUGGAUGGACUCGCGGCCUAUCAGCUUGUUGGUGGGGUAAUGGCCUACCAAGGCGACGACGGGUAGCCGGCCUGAGAGGGUGACCGGCCACACUGGGACUGAGACACGGCCCAGACUCCUACGGGAGGCAGCAGUGGGGAAUAUUGCACAAUGGGCGCAAGCCUGAUGCAGCGACGCCGCGUGAGGGAUGACGGCCUUCGGGUUGUAAACCUCUUUCAGUAGGGAAGAAGCGAAAGUGACGGUACCUGCAGAAGAAGCGCCGGCUAACUACGUGCCAGCAGCCGCGGUAAUACGUAGGGCGCAAGCGUUAUCCGGAAUUAUUGGGCGUAAAGAGCUCGUAGGCGGUUUGUCGCGUCUGCUGUGAAAGACCGGGGCUCAACUCCGGUUCUGCAGUGGGUACGGGCAGACUAGAGUGAUGUAGGGGAGACUGGAAUUCCUGGUGUAGCGGUGAAAUGCGCAGAUAUCAGGAGGAACACCGAUGGCGAAGGCAGGUCUCUGGGCAUUAACUGACGCUGAGGAGCGAAAGCAUGGGGAGCGAACAGGAUUAGAUACCCUGGUAGUCCAUGCCGUAAACGUUGGGCACUAGGUGUGGGGGACAUUCCACGUUUUCCGCGCCGUAGCUAACGCAUUAAGUGCCCCGCCUGGGGAGUACGGCCGCAAGGCUAAAACUCAAAGGAAUUGACGGGGGCCCGCACAAGCGGCGGAGCAUGCGGAUUAAUUCGAUGCAACGCGAAGAACCUUACCAAGGCUUGACAUGAACCGGUAAUACCUGGAAACAGGUGCCCCGCUUGCGGUCGGUUUACAGGUGGUGCAUGGUUGUCGUCAGCUCGUGUCGUGAGAUGUUGGGUUAAGUCCCGCAACGAGCGCAACCCUCGUUCUAUGUUGCCAGCGCGUUAUGGCGGGGACUCAUAGGAGACUGCCGGGGUCAACUCGGAGGAAGGUGGGGACGACGUCAAAUCAUCAUGCCCCUUAUGUCUUGGGCUUCACGCAUGCUACAAUGGCCGGUACAAAGGGUUGCGAUACUGUGAGGUGGAGCUAAUCCCAAAAAGCCGGUCUCAGUUCGGAUUGGGGUCUGCAACUCGACCCCAUGAAGUCGGAGUCGCUAGUAAUCGCAGAUCAGCAACGCUGCGGUGAAUACGUUCCCGGGCCUUGUACACACCGCCCGU